AGAUCAGUCCUAAUUCGUAAUUCCAUUACUUUCCUCUGUUUCUUCUCUCCAUCUCAUCAAAGUUCAAACCUCCAUCUUUAUCCUUAUCAAGCUUCGUUUCACCCAGAACUUCACCGUCGACCAUAAAUCAUUGUAGUUUCGUUCACACCUCCAUCUCCACCAAACCCUAGUUCCUUUUUUUCGACCCAGCACAUCCAUGAACCCUAAAUCUCGUGAUUUCUCUCCCAACCCAGCAAGAACCCUAAAAUUUUGCUUUCAACAACUCUGAAUCCCUCACUCCCUUCUACGUCUUUUUGUGUGUAUUUUAGGUUCGAAGAAAGGCAUACCUGGAAAGGCUUUUGGGAAAUUCUGGUUGCUUUACAGGAGCUCAAGGAAGGAAGAGGGUUUAUGGAAGGAUCUCAAUUCACAAGGUGGCAAUGAAGAUGUAAAGGGGAAUUUUUUUUUACGAUUUCUUAAUUUCUUUUUUUAGAAGUAUAAUUGGUUUUAUUAGGUUUGGUAUUAGUUAAUCUUGUAAUAGUUUCAUGAUUCAAUCCCUAGUCUGUUAUUAUGAUAUAUUAUUAUUGCUGCAUAUAGCCUACCAAUUGUUAUGUGCAAAUAUUUGAAAUCAAAUGACUUAUUUACACUACUUUUGGUGUUGUUUUUUCUACUGUGUAAUUGUGGUUUUGGAAAAAUUUACCUUCUUGGCUGCAGACUUAGGUGACAGAAGAAUGAUUUUCUUUUGUUGAUUAAACAAAAAAGUAUUGAGCAUUUUGAAGCAACAUCACCAAAAUUUUGUCAUGACGGGUAUCUCUUGUUAGUGCAUUAAAAUUCACCAAUAUGUGAUAAUGCUAUGAGUAAGAACAUUAAAUCUGAUUUCUAUAUUGAGUUAUAAAUUCAUGAUUGGUAUAUUGAUUUGAUCUUGGUAUUUUUGUACUUGAAUCUGGCUUGAUAGUUAACAAAGUUAACAUGUACUAAGGCUUGAUGCAUGAUGUAUCCAACAAUCUAUUAAUUGUUUGAUUGCUAAAAGAGGAAAAUAAUUUGCUUUUGUUAGUAUAAAAACUCAGACCGGGUACAUGAGUGCCUAUGGAGAUUUUGCACAAAAUUUGUGCUUGGACUAGUGUGUCAUGAACUCAGGUAUUAACAAUCAUGAAAUCAGUGGUUUAGUGAUCGAGAAUUCUUAAAUUUGAAUUUUCUUGUGAUAUACUCGCAAAAGUUUGAAGAUUAGUUUGAGAAUAUGAUUGACAUUCUAUUUUGGUUGUGUGUGUGUGUGUGUAUCCUUGAUAACAAGUAAACUAAGGGGAAGGAAGGAAGGUAAAACUGUUGUGGUGGAGGAGACGAUGACUGGUCCGUGUUUAUGAAGUUCCAGCCAUUAAGGUUUGAACACUUAGGUUUAUCACUUACCAAGUUGGGAAAGGUAUCAUCUCAAUCUUGAUUUCUUUUUAUGGAUUAUUUACCACUUACCAAAACAUUUCUUUUCUUUGGAUCUCUGUUUUUUUUUUUUUUGAAUUCACAUACAAAUUCUAGGGGAAGCAAUUUAGAACAUUUGUUGCCUUGUCGAGUUGUCUGCUUUAUGCAAUGAUUCUCAUGCUGUUUGUUUUUACAAUUUGACUAUAACUUAUAAGUAGCAUUAGUUUAUGAUCUAUUCAAGGCUGGUAUGAUUAAAGAAACAACAUUUGGAACAACUAAACACUAAAUAUUAUAGGUUGAGCAUACUCAAGGGUUGUAACAAUCGUCAUUUGUUUUACUGGUUUACACUAAAUAUUUGAAGUUCACAAUCACUAAGCUCUAGCUUCAGAAAUUUUUUUGUCUUAUUUCUUACACAUUGCUUGAUGAACCAUAAUUUUAAUGAUCAUUUCUAUGUUUUAAUGCAUUUCUGAAAUAGAAAUAUCAAUGUAUGUACUUCUGCACCCUUUCAAAUUUUUAUUUAUUUACUUCAUCUUAGAAAUAUCAAUGCAUGUCGAAUAACUAAUUGGAAAAAGUUUGUUGUCAAUGAGAGGUAUUUUGUCAUUCAAAAAUAGCUCUUAGUCUAAUAGACAUAUGAAAACAAAUGAGUAUAUGCCAACAAUGGUGGUUGUUGGCAAGACAAAAGCUGCUAACAUUAUGCAUGCAAGGUUAUCAAUGGUGUCUUUCAUUGAUGCUUCUACUCUUCAAUUGAAAGAUCAAGGAUGUGAUUUUGGCUUAUCAAUGGUGUCUUUUUUAUCUUUAGUUAGUUUUGUGAUUUUUCCAUCUCAUUGCUUAUCAAUGCUAAGGAAUGCACUUAUAUGCUUUGUAAUUCUUAUAUUGAUUAGUUUAAAUGCAUGUAAAUUGUAUUUGGAUUUGAAGAUAUAUGUUGUAUACUUGUAUUCUAGUAAAUUGUAAUUAGAUUUGAGUUGUUUAUAUUUUGUUUAUGAUCAAUAAAAUG